rnacentral:rRNA from 1 species
CCUACGGGAGGCAGCAGUGAGGAAUAUUGGUCAAUGGACGAGAGUCUGAACCAGCCAAGUAGCGUGAAGGAUGACUGCCCUAUGGGUUGUAAACUUCUUUUAUAUGGGAAUAAAAUGUUCCACGUGUGGGAUUUUGUAUGUACCAUAUGAAUAAGGAUCGGCUAACUCCGUGCCAGCAGCCGCGGUAAUACGGAGGAUCCGAGCGUUAUCCGGAUUUAUUGGGUUUAAAGGGAGCGUAGGUGGUUUGUUAAGUCAGUUGUGAAAGUUUGCGGCUCAACCGUAAAAUUGCAGUUGAAACUGGCAGUCUUGAGUACUGUAGAGGUGGGCGGAAUUCGUGGUGUAGCGGUGAAAUGCUUAGAUAUCACGAAGAACUCCGAUUGCGAAGGCAGUUCACUGGACUGCAACUGACACUGAGGCUCGAAAGUGUGGGUAUCAAACAGGAUUAGAUACCCCUGUAGUC